UCCCUCAUAGCUCAGUUGGUAAAGAAUCUGCCUGCAAUGCAGGAGACCCAGGUUCGAUUCCUGGGUUGGGAA
rnacentral:tRNA from 1 species